rnacentral:rRNA from 1 species
GAUGAACGCUGGCGGCGUGCCUAAUACAUGCAAGUCGAGCGAACGGACGAGAAGCUUGCUUCUCUGAUGUUAGCGGCGGACGGGUGAGUAACACGUGGGUAACCUACCUAUAAGACUGGGAUAACUUCGGGAAACCGGAGCUAAUACCGGAUAAUAUUUUGAACCGCAUGGUUCAAAAGUGAAGGACGGUCUUGCUGUCACUUAUAGAUGGAUCCGCGCUGCAUUAGCUAGUUGGUAAGGUAACGGCUUACCAAGGCAACGAUGCAUAGCCGACCUGAGAGGGUGAUCGGCCACACUGGAACUGAGACACGGUCCAGACUCCUACGGGAGGCAGCAGUAGGGAAUCUUCCGCAAUGGGCGAAAGCCUGACGGAGCAACGCCGCGUGAGUGAUGAAGGUCUUCGGAUCGUAAAACUCUGUUAUUAGGGAAGAACAUAUGUGUAAGUAACUGUGCACAUCUUGACGGUACCUAAUCAGAAAGCCACGGCUAACUACGUG